GAUGAACGCUGGCGGCGUGCCUAACACAUGCAAGUCGAACGGAACUGUUUUGAAAGAUUUCUUCGGAAUGAAUUUGAUUUAGUUUAGUGGCGGACGGGUGAGUAACGCGUGAGUAACCUGCCUUCAAGAGGGGGAUAACAUUCUGAAAAGAAUGCUAAUACCGCAUGACAUAUCGGAACCACAUGGUUUUGAUAUCAAAGAUUUUAUCGCUUGAAGAUGGACUCGCGUCCGAUUAGUUAGUUGGUGAGGUAACGGCUCACCAAGACCGCGAUCGGUAGCCGGACUGAGAGGUUGAACGGCCACAUUGGGACUGAGACACGGCCCAGACUCCUACGGGAGGCAGCAGUGGGGGAUAUUGCGCAAUGGGGGCAACCCUGACGCAGCAACGCCGCGUGAAGGAUGAAGGUUUUCGGAUUGUAAACUUCUUUUAUUAAGGACGAAAAAUGACGGUACUUAAUGAAUAAGCUCCGGCUAA
rnacentral:rRNA from 1 species